GGGGCGGCAGGGUAGCCUAGUGGUUAGAGUGUUGGGGCGGCAGGGUAGCCUAGUGGUUAGAGUGUUGGGGCGGCAGGUAGCCUAGUGGUUAGAGUGUUGGGGCGGCAGGGUAGCCUAGUGGUUAGAGUGUAGGGGCGGCAGGGUAGCCUAGUGGUUAGAGUGUUGGGGUGGCAGGGUAGCCUAGUGGUUAGUGUUGGGGCGGCAGGGUAGCCUAGUGGUUAGAGUGUUGGGGCGGCAGGGUAGCCUAGUGGUUAGAGUGUAGGGGCGGCAGGGUAGCCUAGUGGUUAGAGUGUUGGGGCGGCAGGGUAGCCUAGUGGUUAGAGUGUUGGGGCGGCAGGGUAGCCUAGUGGUUAGAGUGUUGGGGCGGCAGGGUAGCCUAGUGGUUAGAGUGUUGGGGCGGCAGGGUAGCCUAGUGGUUAGAGUGUAGGGGCGGCAGGGUAGCCUAGUGGUUAGAGAGUUGGGGCGGCAGGGUAGCCUAGUGGUUAGUGUUGGGGCGGCAGGGUAGCCUAGUGGUUAGAGUGUUGGGGCGGCAGGGUAGCCUAGUGGUUAGAGUGUUGGGGCGGCAGGGUAGCCUAGUGGUUAGAGUGUUGGGGCGGCAGGGUAGCCUAGUGGUUAGAGUGUUGGGGCGGCAGGGUAGCCUAGUGGUUAGAGUGUUGGGGCGGCAGGGUAGCCUAGUGGUUAGAGUGUUGGGGCGGCAGGGUAGCCUAGUGGUUAGAGUGUAGGGGCGGCAGGGUAGCCUAGUGGUUAGAGUGUUGGGGCGGCAGGGUAGCCUAGUGGUUAGAGUGUAGGGGCGGCAGGGUAGCCUAGUGGUUAGAGUGUAGGGGCGGCAGGGUAGCCUAGUGGUUAGAGUGUUGGGGCGGCAGGGUAGCCUAGUGGUUAGAG
ensembl:lncRNA